rnacentral:lncRNA from 1 species
GGGAAGAACACAGCAUGAAGUCAGACGUCUGAGAAGCCCAGCACUUAAGGGAGAAAGCAUUUAUGGUGAGGAGAAAAGCAGCUGGUAUCACACUCUACCCAAGUCCCAAAAGCAGGUUCACAUAACUCCUGUCUUCAUUAUCUGAUAUCCGGUGAGUCACUGAAUUCCUUCAUCUAGGUAAUCAAUCAGUCAAUCAUCAAUUGAUUUGAUUUUGCCACUUAAAUAUUUCUAAAAUGUGUUUUGUCCUUUCUCUUUCUGCUACCCAAGUGGUUUUUCAUGCGUCAUUGCUUCCAGAAGGCUUUAUGGUCAAUUGUGUCAUAUGCAUAGAGGUCAAAGAUCAUGAAUACUGGCAGAGUCUUGGUUUUGGUGUUAUGGAGGCCUCUGCGGAUCUAUGAAAGGCUAGUCCAGUGCCUUGAGCCUUAUUAACAAAUGGCUGGUGAAGACUUUAACAGAAGUGACAGGAUUCUAAGGCGAUAAAAGCAGAGAAAGUUCAGCUUGAUGCAGUAGAACUUUAGAAGGGAGUUUUAUCUUUGUAUAUGCUGUUUCCUUUUUUUAUUUUUUAGAAUAUAUGAAACUUAUAAAUAGUUGGAUUUAUGAUAAGUAGUCAUAGUUGAGAAAGCAUUGAUGGUGAGGAGGAAAACAGCAUUGAUACCAAUUGUGAAGGGGGAUUGUGGAGUAUGGAAUUAAGAAGUGGACCUGGGAAAUUUAAAGUUUAGUCUGCAUUUUUUCUGAGAUGAAAAUAUAUGGAAAACACAAAAUUUUCAAGGUGGAGAAGAAGAAAAUGAAAUGCAUUAAUGAUAAUUUGCACAUUUAGAUAUUAUUCCAUGAUGCAGAUUUUAAAUGUAAUUUAUUUACGUAGUCCUUGAUAUUGCAUGUUUGGACAUAUACUGUAUUUGUAUGCUUUUAUUCCUUUUUUUGGCUAUUAUGAGAAAUGCAGUAAUAAAUAUAAUUAUACAUAAAGCCUCACAGAAAUAAAUUCAGCUCCAAGAGAUAGAGUAAUUGAAUGCAACGGACAGGCAAAAAAAGUGUGUGUGCAGUUUUAAUUUUAAUAUUUAUUUUUAAAUGCUUUGCCAAAGUUUGAAACUAUUCACAUUUUCAUCAAUAGAGAGACUUGAAGUCAAACAGAAUGUAUGUGUUACAGAUGUGACACAGUUUUACUCCAGAGAUGUGGCCACAUAUGCCCACACAAUUUAUAAAAAUUAACUGUCCUUUCCUAUGAAUUAAAAUAUUACCUGUUUUAUAUGUUACAUUCUCAUAUACACUUAGACCUAUUUCUGAAUUAUCUGUGUUGCGCACUGAUCUAGCCACCUGAGCUUGUUACUACAAUACUAAUUUGAUUAUGAUGGCAUUAGAAUAUGUUACUAAUGGAAUAAUUACUGAGAUGAUUCCUAUUGUAUCACUUUAUUUUCCAUUAUUUCUUCACUGUUCUAAAAUAGUUUAUAUUAUUCCCCUUAUAAAAAGAGAAUAUUAGUUAGAAUUUUAAAAUCAUGCAUUGAUUCUGAAAGAAUAGGUACUUUUAAACAUAUAUCUUCUUGCCCAAUAUUAUGGUACUUCUUUCUAUUGUUCAGAUUUCCUAUUAUGUUCUUUUGUGAGGUUUUGUAGCUUCUCUAUUUAGAAGGUAAAACAUUUUACGUAUGAUUAAGUGAAUCAUAGUUUUAGCCUUUUUCUUUUCUUUUCGUUAUUUGUUUUUUUGAGACAGGGUCUCAUUCCUGUUGCCCAGGCUGGGGUGCAGUGGUGCAAUUUCAGCUCACUGCAGCCUUGGCUUUCUGGGUUCAGUUGAUCCUUCCAACUCAGCCUUCCAAGGUGCUGGGACUACAGGCAUGUACCACCAUGCCUGGCUAAUUUUUUUGUUUUUUGUUUUUUUUCAGUAGAAAGUGGGUUUUGCCAUGUUUCCCAGGCUGGUCCCCAACUCCUGGGCUCAAGCAAACUGCCCUCUUCCCAAAUUGCUAGCAU